rnacentral:rRNA from 1 species
UACGGAGGGUGCAAGCGUUGUUCGGAAUCACUGGGCUUAAAGGGCGUGUAGGCGGGGGAGUAAGUGUCGGGUGAAAUCCCUGGGCUCAACCCGGGAACUGCUCGGCAGACUGCUUGUCUUGAGGCAGGUAGAGGUGACCGGAACGCCUGGUGGAGCGGUGAAAUGCGUUGAUAUCAGUUGGAACGCCGGCGGCGAAAGCGGGUCACUGGGCCUGUCCUGACGCUGAGGCGCGAAAGCGUGGGGAGCAAACAGG